CAACCCUUAAGCCUCUGUUGCUUAGUGUUGGGGGCCUGUAGCGUAGUGCCAUAGCUCCCUAAAGUUAGUGGCGGAGUUGGUGUAUACUCUAGACGUAGUAAAUUUUUUUUAUCUCGCCUAUGGUAUGUGCUGAAUCUAGCCGUAAAACCCCCCGAACUUCUAAGG
rnacentral:misc_RNA from 1 species